AGUUUGAUCCUGGCUCAGGACGAACGCUGGCGGCGUGCUUAACACAUGCAAGUCGAACGGAGCACCCCUGAAAGAGUUUUCGGACAAUGGAAGGGAAUGCUUAGUGGCGGACUGGUGAGUAACGCGUGAGGAACCUGCCUUCCAGAGGGGGACAACAGUUGGAAACGACUGCUAAUACCGCAUGAUGUGUUUCGAUGGCAUCAUCGAGACACCAAAGAUUUAUCGCUGGAAGAUGGCCUCGCGUCUGAUUAGCUAGUAGGCGGGGUAACGGCCCACCUAGGCGACGAUCAGUAGCCGGACUGAGAGGUUGACCGGCCACAUUGGGACUGAGAUACGGCCCAGACUCCUACGGGAGGCAGCAGUGGGGAAUAUUGGGCAAUGGGCGCAAGCCUGACCCAGCAACGCCGCGUGAAGGAAGAAGGCUUUCGGGUUGUAAACUUCUUUUAAGAGGGAAGAGCAGAAGACGGUACCUCUUGAAUAAGCCACGGCUAACUACGUGCCAGCAGCCGCGGUAAUACGUAGGUGGCAAGCGUUGUCCGGAUUUACUGGGUGUAAAGGGCGUGCAGCCGGGAAGACAAGUCAGAUGUGAAAUCCCGCGGCUCAACCGCGGAACUGCAUUUGAAACUGUUUUUCUUGAGUACCGGAGAGGUCAUCGGAAUUCCUUGUGUAGCGGUGAAAUGCGUAGAUAUAAGGAAGAACACCAGUGGCGAAGGCGGAUGACUGGACGGCAACUGACGGUGAGGCGCGAAAGCGUGGGGAGCAAUACAGGAUUAGAUACCCUGGUAGUCCACGCUGUAAACGAUCAAUACUAGGUUGCGGGGACUGACCCCUGCGUGCCGCAGUUAACACAAUAAGUAUUGCACCUGGGGAGUACGAUCGCAAGGUGAAACUCAAAGGAAUUGACGGGGCCCGCACAAGCGGUGGAUUAUGUGGUUUAAUUCGAAGCAACGCGAAGCCCUUACCAGGGCUUGACAGGGGGCGGCCGGUGUAGAG
rnacentral:rRNA from 1 species